UCUCUAUGAAUUUGACUUUAGCUCCCUCAUCCAUGUGGAAUCAUAUGGUACUUGUCCCUUUGUGACUGGUUUAUUUCACUGAGCAUAACGUCCUCAAUAUCCAUCCAGGUUGUAGAAUGUUUCAGAAUUUCCUUCCUUUUUAUUGCUAAAAAAAUAUCCCAUUGUAUGUGUCUACCACAUCUUGUUUCUCCAUUCAUCCGUUGAUAGAUACUUGGGUUGCUUCCACUUUUUGACUUUUUGGCUUAUUUUUGCGAUAAGGAAUAUUUUUGUGAUUGGAGGACAACAUAUAUUUGAAAGGAAAGUAAACGGAACAGGGAUUAUAGGCCACUUCAUGGUCUUCGUGUCUUUAUUCUAGGCAGCUGCACAGUCUUGGGAGAAAGUCUUUCCUAGCACCUCGUUAGACUUUGUGACCCUCUGGGCAUUGUGUUACCCUCCUUAUGUUGUCUCCCACUCUUCUGCGCUAUCUAACUAAAUAUGAAUCACCAGGCUAAUUUGGGACAAUUCAGCUGAGAACAGAGCAAAGAGUUACAUGGACGCAUCAAACACAGACACUUUUCAGAGGUACCGUUUCUCUCUAGUUGAGGUUUUAUGUAACACUACAUGUUUCUCAAGUGUUGUGUGAUCAGUUUGAUCAGGCAAGCAUCUUAAAAGUCCUCUGAGGACUAGCAUUUUAAUCAGUCAAUGCCCUGCAUAGGUCAAUGAAAUCUCUGAUCCAACAGGAGAUAAGGGGAGAGGGUUAUUCCUGGCCUGGGGGCAGAGAGAGAAGAGGCGUGGGAGGGUCGUCUCAGCUCUUUUUAGGGAAAUUGAUGGCCUCAAAGCAAAAUUUUCUCCAGGACGAGAAAAAGGGAAAAAGCAGCAUUUAGGCCCAUGACUAGGCAUUCCUAAUCUACUUCUUGGCUAUGUCUAAAGUUCAGUAAAGAAUACUUUGCCACUUUAAAACACUUCUAGUGAGCAUCUUUCGUCAUUGCCAGGGGAAGCAAAUAAAAAUCAGGUGCAUCAGGAGCCUGGCAGCCAGUGCCCAGGCAUUGUGGUCAGCCAACCGAGAAGACUCGCUCCAAGUUUCCAGGAGGGGUUCAACCCAGCAGGUAACAAAUGUUAGCUCAGACCUCAGACCUUUUCAGUGUCUUGACUGUCAGUAACCUAGAUCCAAGGAAUGAUUAGACAAAAUUCACAGCAGGGCUCAGCAUCUCACUCACAGCUCCGCUGCCUUGACCGCUCCGGCCAUUUCCGCUUUUCCCUGCCUUGUUUUGCCUUCUUGUUCUCGGCUGCAGAAGAUGCCCUGUACUCACAUGGUGUCAUUACCAUCUUGCCCUCCGAGCUUCUCCUCUUGCUGGGCUUUAAGUCCUUUGUCUGGGACUUGGGUUUCCUGCUCUCUUGGCUUCUCUUCUUUGCGUAGCCUCAUCCUUACUACGACCCGCCUCCUAGUCACUUGCUCAUUCCAACUCAAGUCGAGUGUUAUCAAGCCUUUUGAGUGGGCCUGCACCAGAUUAUAAAUCAGCUCAGCGCCUCCACUGGCUCGUUCCAUAAUGCUAGAGUCCGGAACCCAAGCUCGAGAUGACCCCUGCUAACGGGCUAGUCCCAGGGCAGGUGUUCUCAAGGUUAGCCUGCGUCAGAAUCACCUGAAGGGUGUGUGGAAAUGAGUUGUUGCCAGGCAUGACUCCCAGGGUUUCUGAUUGAGGAGGUCUGGGUGGGGCUCAGAGAAUUUGCUUUUCUAACAAAUUUCCAGGUGGUGCUAAUGCUGCUGGCCGAGGGACUAUGCUUUGAGAAUUAAUGCUGAAGGGUAAAAAUAUUUAUGUUGGAAGGAAUCAUGUCUCAUAGUUAUUGACCACUUAUUACAUACAACAAAACACUGUUCUAAGUGCUUUACUCAUUUUGUCUUUACAACUCUUGUUUUUUUCUAUUUUCAAAUGAGGAAACUGAGUCACAGAGAAGUUAACUAUCUUUCCCAAAGUCACACGGAUUUGGAAGAUCUCCGGUUCAUUCAGCUGCACUUCUUGUCAUGGGAUAUGGCAGCGCGUCUCAAACUUGCCUGGGAACCGGACGCAGAGAAGCCAGGAGCCGGAGCCCAGAUUUGGGCACAACUUCUCCCUAGGGGUCUGCUUGUUCAGACGAGGCGUCGAGGCAACUGUCUGCACAGUCGUCAUCGUAACUAGAAAGUAGCGGGGGUACUGGAACAGCUUCGUUGCUUUAGAAUAGGCCGUCUCGCCGUUCAUCAUAUUUGAGACUUCUGUGAAACUACAUCGUGUGGAAGUUGGUGGCCUUUUGAGAAAAAUGUAAUGGUAUUCACAUUUCUUCCUAUACCACUCGGGGAUUUUAAACAAUGGAGCAAGAAAAGAAGGCCAAGACUGUCUUCUUACUUAACACGUACCUGCUUACUUUUCAAGAGCUUUAAAACAAAAACCAAAUCACCCCACUGGAAGCCGGCCCCGGGACCUUGGACUACUCAUUCAGUGUCGCUGGUGUCGGAGCCUCGAAGGUGGAGCACACACUCCAGGAGUCCUUGCAAAGAUGCCACCAGGGAGCUGGAGGAAACGUUAGAACCUUUAUUUACGUGUUUUCCCUCUAAAAUGUAAGGAAAACUAUUAAGCUAUACUAACAUUUGAUAUAUGAAUCAAGAGGGUGAAGUAUAUAAUUUAUAAACAUGUACAUUUUGGGAGUGCAUGCUCAAAAAUGUUUGCUCCUCAUGGCACAUGACCAGAAAAGUGGAGAUUACUGAUCUACCCCCCAGAGAGGAGACUAGAUUUAGUGUUUUUUUCAAACUGGUGAUGGCAACCUAUUCUUGGUUUGUGCAAUCUAUUUAGUAGAUCUUUAAAGAGUGAAAUAAAAUAAAAAAUUUCCGUGUGUGAUGCUCAUGGUAAGAAUUAAGCACUGUUGUGUGGAACUUUUCAGAUGAACACGUGUGAGUACUGGGUUCUGAUGUAAAGUGUUUCUCCUAUUGUGGCUUGUGGUUAAAAAAAUUGAAAGCAACCGGACUAGAGCAGUGGUUCUCAAAGGGUCAUCCCCGGACCAGCAGCAGCGUCAUAUGGGAACUGAUUAGAAGGGCAGAUUCUUCAACCCCACCCAAGACGCGUGGGUCAGAAAGUGGGGGUGGAGCCCAGCAGUCGUGGGUGGUGAACGCUCAGGUGAUUUCGACAAACCCCCCCAUUUAGAGCCACCGGCCUAGAAUAGCUCUGGAACUCACCUGGCUACAAAAGUUGAAGACUGUUAGAUAGUCAUUUCACUAAGGCCAUGUUUUUCAAGCUUACCUGAUCAUAAGAAUCACCUGGGUGAUUUAAAAGUACUUCAGAGGGGCUGGCCGGGUGGUAUAGUGGUUAAGGUCCUCGCUCUGCUUCAGUGGCCCAGGGUUUGCUGGUUCAGAUCCUGGGCGUGGACCUACACCGCUCAUCAGGCCACACUGUGGUGGC